ACCCUUUCCCAGCUCAUAUGUGAUGAUUGGAUGUUCACGCCAUGGUGUGAGAUGUGCGUCCCUCAAACCUUGUUAUGAUGCUGGCAUAUUACCCUUCUGACG